GACGAACGCUGGCGGCGCGCCUAAUACAUGCAAGUCGAACGGGUCUCCUUCGGGAGGUCAGUGGCGAACGGGUGAGUAACACGUGGGUGACCUGCCCUCAGCUCUGGGAUAAGCCCGGGAAACUGGGUCUAAUACCGGAUAUGACUCCAUGACGCAUGUUGUGGGGUGGAAAGCCUUGUGCGGCUGAGGAUGGGCCCGCGGCCUAUCAGCUUGUUGGUGGGGUGAUGGCCACCAAGGCGACGACGGGUAGCCGGCCUGAGAGGGCGACCGGCCACACUGGGACUGAGACACGGCCCAGACUCCUACGGGAGGCAGCAGUGGGGAAUCUUGCGCAAUGGGCGAAAGCCUGACGCAGCGACGCCGCGUGAGGGAUGACGGCCUCGG
rnacentral:rRNA from 1 species